rnacentral:rRNA from 1 species
AGAGUUUGAUCCUGGCUCAGGACGAACGCUGGCGGUAUGCUUAACACAUGCAAGUCGAACGAGACAAGAUGGAAGUGCUUGCACGGAAAUCUUAGAAAGUGGCGAACGGGUGAGUAACGCGUGGGUAACCUGCCCUAUGGAAAGGAAUAGCCUCGGGAAACUGGGAGUAAUGCCUUAUAAUACAGCGAAGUCGCAUGGCUUUGCUGUUAAACGCUCCGGUGCCAUAGGAUGGACCCGCGUCCCAUUAGCUAGUUGGUGAGAUAACAGCCCACCAAGGCGACGAUGGGUAACCGGUCUGAGAGGGCGAACGGUCACACUGGAACUGAGACACGGUCCAGACUCCUACGGGAGGCAGCAGUGGGGAAUAUUGCGCAAUGGGGGAAACCCUGACGCAGCAAUACCGCGUGAGUGAAGAAGGUUUUCGGAUCGUAAAGCUCUGUUAUUGGGGAAGAAAAAAAGACGGUACCCAAGAAGAAAGUCCCGGCUAACUACGUGCCAGCAGCCGCGGUAAUA